AACGAACGCUGGCGGCAUGCCUAACACAUGCAAGUCGAACGAAUGGUUUCGGCCAUUAGUGGCGCACGGGUGAGUAACGCGUGGGAAUCUGCCCAGCAGUGGGGGAUAACCUCUGGAAACGGAGGCUAAUACCGCAUACGCCCCUCGGGGGAAAGGGCUUGCUGCUGCUGGAGGAGCCCGCGUCGGAUUAGGUAGUUGGUGGGGUAACGGCCUACCAAGCCUGUGAUCCGUAGCUGGUCUGAGAGGAUGAUCAGCCACACUGGGACUGAGACACGGCCCAGACUCCUACGGGAGGCAGCAGUGGGGGAAUAUUGGACAAUGGGCGCAAGCCUGAUCCAGCAAUGCCGCGUGAGUGAUGAAGGCCUUCGGUUGUAAAGACUCUUUCGCCCACGACGAUGAUGACGGUAGUGGGA
rnacentral:rRNA from 1 species